rnacentral:lncRNA from 1 species
GUGCAGUAAACGGUUUCUAAAAGUUAACAUCUUGUGAGCAUGUUCCUUUGUAUGCAGGUGUGCGAAUGUUGUCAGCGAUUACAUCAGGAUAAAGAAAGUCAUGGAGGUCUGGGAUGAUAUGAGGGUGUUUUUGGUUCAGGAGAAACAUGCGGUAGCUGCUGUUUUCCUGGGUUGGUCUGCAUAUCGUCAUUAAAUUAUCUGAUGGCAUGUGAUUCUGCGUGAGCAUGGAGGAGCUAUGGAGGCGGACACGGGUGAUGGGUGAAUGGAGACUGAGAUCACCACGUCGUUUCGGUGGACUGACCAAAACAAAGCAGGAUUGCUCUGUGUCUAAUGGUGGCCGGCGGAAAAGCUUUCCCAUCAGAUCACAUGGUGGAUAAAUGAAGCUUCUUGAAAUGGAACGGGAAGAAUGUGGCACGGAUCGUAAAACUGGGACCACAGGGAACGGUAAAAGGGUUCGGAUGGCAGCCAGAUUCAUCAAGUCAUUUAUGCCAUUCCUGAAAUAUGUCAAACGGCCAUUAGGAAUGCUGUUCCGAGUACUAAAAGGAGGAAAGAAUUAAAUAUGUGAACCGGGGAUGGUGGCUUGUGAGCAGCGUAUUUAAAAUUCUAAAAAGCUGUCCUGAAUCUCUCCUAAUCAGGCGCCUCUAAUUAUUAAAUAUUUUCAGACUGCUUUAGUGUAGUAUGUCUACAAUCAAUUAACAUGAUUAAAAUUUUAUACAUUUUAUUUAAUAGAUUUGGGCAAAAAAAA